CCUACGGGAGGCAGCAGUGGGGAAUAUUGGGCAAUGGGCGCAAGCCUGACCCAGCAACGCCGCGUGAAGGUAGAAGGCUUUCGGGUGGUAAACUUCUUUAGUCAGGGAAGAGUAGAAGACGGUACCUGACGAAUGAGCCACGGCUAACUACGUGCCAGCAGCCGGGGUAAUACGUAGGUGGCAAGCGUUGUCCGGAUUUACUGGGUGUAAAGGGCGUGUAGCCGGGUUGACAAGUCAGAUGUGAAAUCCUGCGGCUUAACCGCAGAACUGCAUUUGAAACUGUUGAUCUUGAAUACUGGAGAGGUAGACGGAAGUCCUAGUGUAGCGGUGAAAUGCGUAGAUAUUAGGAGGAACACCAGUGGCGAAGGCGGUCUGCUGGACAGCAACUGACGGUGAGGCGCGAAAGCGAGGGGAGCAAACAGGAUUAGAUACCCUAGUAGUC
rnacentral:rRNA from 1 species